UCCACCGUGAGGUGGAAUCUGAAGGAAGCCGACGGCAAACUUCUGGUCUGACGAAUAGAAACUACAUAUAAGGCACACAUAUGCUGGGUAAGGUUGCCACACAAACCAAAGCCCUAAACUAUCCGGAAGCAUAAGGUGUAGAUGUAGCAGAUAGAUGGAAGGAAAGAUUGCGUU
rnacentral:ncRNA from 1 species